rnacentral:rRNA from 1 species
UAAUUUAUAAAUUAUCGUUAUGGAUUUUUGGGUUUAUGUGCCUUUUGCAUCAUGCUUGCUUGAUUUUUUUAAAUUAUUUUUUAAAUCGAAAUGCUUAGAUCUUAAAAUUAAUUGUUUGGAAAUUUGUUUUAUUUGUGUAAAAUAAGUUAAAUUAAUUUUAUGGUGUGAUAAAUUAUUCGUUGAGCAUUAUAUCUAUUUAGUUACUUUAUAAUUUUUAGUUAUAUAUUAAGCUAUGAGGUUUGAUAUAGUUUUAUAUUUGUUAUUUGUAUUUAUUAAUAUUAGGUUAAAGGUACCUUAUGUUUGUGAGUUUGUUAUAAAUUUAAUAUAAGUGUUUUUUAUAAUUAAAUAUAUUGGUAACUUGUUGUUAAUAUUUGGUUUGUAUGUAUUAGUAAAUAAGUAAUUGUAUUAUACUAAUUAUUUCUCAGGGUCUUUCCGUCUGUUUAUUAAAAACAUUUCUAACUUUAAAUUUAGUUAGUAGUGCCUGCUCAGUGUUUUUAUAAAUAGCCGCAGUAUAUUGACUGUGCGAAGGUAGCAUAAUUAAUUGCCUUUUAAAUGGAGGCUUGUUUGAAUGGUUUGACGUGAGAGAUUUGAAUAUUUGGUAUUUUUUUGAAAUUGAUUAUAAGGGUUUAGAAUCCUUUAUUUAUUUAAUUAGACGGAAAGACCCUGGGAUCUUUUAUUUUUGUUUGGGGAAAAUUUUAUUUUUUUAUUAAAAUUAUGACCCUUAGAAAAGUUUAUUGGGUUAAGUUACCCCAGGGAUAACAGUGUAAUAAUUAAUUAGAGAUCUUAUCGAAUUAAUUGAUUGCCACCUCGAUGUUGACUUAGGUUAAAGAUUUAAGUGCAGUAGUUUAAGUUUUUGGUCUGUUCGACCUUUAUAACCUUCAUGAGUUGAGUUAAGACCGGCGUGAGUCAGGUCGGUUCUUAUCUAUUAUGGAAAUUUAUUAGUACGAAAGGACAGUAGAUUUUUUUAUU